AGUGAACGCUGGCGGUAGGCCUAACACAUGCAAGUCGAACGGCAGCACAGUAAGAGCUUGCUCUUACGGGUGGCGAGUGGCGGACGGGUGAGGAAUACAUCGGAAUCUACUUUUUCGUGGGGGGUAACGUAGGGAAACUUACGCUAAUACCGCAUACGACCUACGGGUGAAAGCAGGGGAUCUUCGGACCUUGCGCGAUUGAAUGAGCCGAUGUCGGAUUAGCUAGUUGGCGGGGUAAAGGCCCACCAAGGCGACGAUCCGUAGCUGGUCUGAGAGGAUGAUCAGCCAAAAUGGAACUGGGACAGGGUUUAGAACCCUAGGGGAGGCAGCAGGGGGGAAAAUUGGACAAGGGGCGAAAGCCUGAUCCAGCCAUACCGGGGGGGUGAAGAAGGCCUUCGGGUUGUAAAGCCCUUUUGUUGGGAAAGAAAAGCAGCAGGUUAAAACCCCGCUGUUCUGACGGGACCCAAAGAAUAAGCACCGGCAAACUUCGU
rnacentral:rRNA from 1 species